GACAGAGGGUGCAAACGUUGUUCGGAAUUACUGGGCGUAAAGCGAGUGUAGGCGGUCUGUAAAGUCGGGUGUGAAAGCCCCGGGCUCAACCCGGGAAGUGCACUCGAAACUCACAGGCUAGAGUAUCGGAGAGGUUGGUGGAAUUCUCGGUGUAGAGGUGAAAUUCGUAGAUAUCGAGAGGAACACCGUGGCGAAGGCGGCCAACUGGACGAAUACUGACGCUGAGACUCGAAAGCGUGGGGAGCGAACAG
rnacentral:rRNA from 1 species